rnacentral:rRNA from 1 species
UACAGAGGUGGCAAGCGUUGUUCGGAAUUACUGGGCGUAAAGGGCGCGCAGGCGGCCCGCUAAGUUCCGUGUGAAAUCCCUCGGCUCAACUGAGGAACCGCACGGAAAACUGGCAGGCUUGAGUUCGGGAGAGGGAAGUGGAAUUCCGGGUGUAGCGGUGAAAUGCGUAGAUAUCCGGAGGAACACCGGUGGCGAAGGCGGCUUCCUGGACCGACACUGACGCUGAGGCGCGAAAGCUAGGGGAGCAAAC